GUCAGCGAGGGCACGCCUGCCUGGGCGUCACAC
rnacentral:rRNA from 1 species